CAUUGGGGCGUGGUCUCUCUCCCUUUAAAAAAGCGGCUAUUUCCUCUGCUCGCUCUCUUCACUUCCUGCUCCGCCGGAGACUAGACUCCCUUCCUGAUUGUGCAGAUGGCUGUUGUCUGGGACGGUAAUCUGACAGCUGUGAGCUCUCAGCUACUGCUCCAGUGCCUUGGCUCCCUGCCAUGAUGGUCAUGGACUCACCCUGUGAAACUGAUGGUCUUGCCUCCAAGUUCAAUGACUGAGCAGUGCUGGUGGAAACAUGGCGCG